rnacentral:rRNA from 1 species
UACAGAGGGUGCGAGCGUUAAUCGGAAUUACUGGGCGUAAAGCGCACGUAGUCGGCUUUGCAAGUCGGUUGUGAAAUCCCCGGGCUCAACCUGGGAACUGCAUCCGAGACUGCAUUGCUAGAGUAUGGGAGAGGAAAGCGGAAUUUCUGGUGUAGCAGUGAAAUGCGUAGAUAUCAGGAGGAACACCUAUUGCGAAGGCAGCUCGCUGGGACGUUACUGACGCUGAGACGCGAAAGCGUGGGGAGCAAACAGG